rnacentral:rRNA from 1 species
UGAGGAAUAUUGGUCAAUGGGCGAGAGCCUGAACCAGCCAAGUAGCGUGCAGGAUGACGGCCCUAUGGGCUGUAAACUGCUUUUAUGCGGGGAUAAAGUGUGCGACGUGUCGUGCAUUGCAGGUACCGCAUGAAUAAGGACCGGCUAAUUCCGUGCCAGCAGCCGCGGUAAUACGGAAGGUCCGGGCGUUAUCCGGAUUUAUUGGGUUUAAAGGGAGCGUAGGCCGCCAGAUAAGCGUGUUGUGAAAUGUACCGGCUCAACCGGUGAAUUGCAGCGCGAACUGUUUGGCUUGAGUGCACGGUAAGCAGGCGGAAUUCAUGGUGUAGCGGUGAAAUGCUUAGAUAUCAUGAGGAACUCCGAUUGCGAAGGCAGCUUGCUGCAGUGCGACUGACGCUGAUGCUCGAAGGUGCGGGUAUCAAACAGG